rnacentral:rRNA from 1 species
GAUGAACGCUGACAGAAUGCUUAACACAUGCAAGUCUACUUGAACUUCGGUUUGGGUGGCGGACGGGUGAGUAACGCGUAAAGAACUUGCCUCACAGUUAGGGACAACAUUUGGAAACGAAUGCUAAUACCUGAUAUUAUGAUUUUAGGGCAUCCUAGGAUUAUGAAAGCUAUAUGUGCUGUGAGAGAGCUUUGCGUCCCAUUAGCUAGUUGGAGAGGUAACGGCUCACCAAGGCGAUGAUGGGUAGCCGGCCUGAGAGGGUGAACGGCCACAAGGGGACUGAGACACGGCCCUUACUCCUACGGGAGGCAGCAGUGGGCAAUAUUGGACAAUGGACCAAAAGUCUGAUCCAGCAAUUCUGUGUGCACGAUGACGUUUUUCGGAAUGUAAAGUGCUUUCAGUUGGGAAGAAAAAAAUGACGGUACCAACAGAAGAAGUGACGGCUAAAUACGUG